ensembl:snoRNA U3 Small nucleolar RNA U3
AAGACUAUACUUUCAGGGAUCGUUUCUAUAGUUUGUUACUAGAGAAGUUUCUCUGAAAGGGUAGAGUAGUUGCUGAAAGCAGC